GCCUAGUUAGCUUAGUUGGUAGUGCGUCUGCCUUUUAAGCGCUAGGCCGCGGGUUCGAUUCCCGCCCGGGGCG
rfam:Asian citrus Psyllid, Diaphorina citri - Florida Strain, whole genome shotgun sequence.